GCGGUACCACAUUCGGAAAAAUAUCAGUAGCGUUCCACCGAUCAUCUGGAAAGAUGAUGUUCAAAUUUUCAGUAUUGUUGAUGGUGUGUACUGAGUGUAUAUAUAGAGUUACCGGGGCAUCGUUCUCCAGAGUGUACGUUCAAAAUGGCCAAGAAGUCGUUCCGUUGGAAUAUGUUCAAUAUGGCGCGCCAGCAGUGUCAAUACCUGGACCACAACUAGCACAAAUAUCUGCGGCACCAGUUGGCUCAUUGCUUCCAGUUGCGUCAUCACACCAUCUGAUCAAUCCAUGUGGCGCACCUUGCGUCUAUCCAGGAUCAGCAAUUGCUUCAGUAGCUCAAGCAGUAUCUCCCACUCCUAACUUCAUAACAUAUAAAGCGAACGUUCCAGCUGUUGUAGAAACUAGUGAGGAACCAACUGGUUACGAAUAUUCUUAUGUCGUUUAUGAUGACGGUACUGGUGAUCACAAAACACAACACGAAUCAAGCGACGGCGCAGUAGUACGGGGUCAAUACUCGUUUCUCCAGCCCGACGGCUACGUACGGGAAGUACAUUAUACAGCUGAUGACUUAAAAGGUUUUAACGCUGUCGUCAAAAAGUUCUUGCCCGCCAAUGUGGAAGUAAAAGACGAAUCUAAAGAAGAACAUCUCCCGCAUAUACCAUGCCAUGAUGUUAACCACGGAUCUGUUAAAACAUCAGGACAUCAGGAAAAUCAUGAAGAUCAUCACUAUCAUGAACCGAAUACGAAAGAAACUCAUCACAAAACACAGGAAGUAGCUUCCAGUGACGAAAGUCAUGAUGAGAAACACAAUGAAGAGAAUCACAAGUCUGUCGAAGAUACUCAUUCUCCAAAAGAAUCAAAUGAGAAGCCAAACGAAGCAUUAACAAAAGCAUCGGCAGAGAGUAGUGCUGAAUCAGAAUCGUCAGAAAAAAGUAUUGAGACACAAGAAAUUCACAAAGAACAUUUAAAUGAACCGCAUCAUGAACAUGAAGUCGAUGGUGAACACAAAAUACACGAAAUUUUCGAAACGACAGAACACGAAUCCAUGAGGGGUCCUGAUUACCAAGACAUAAUCAAAUGUAUCCAAAAAUCAAUAGACAGUAAAGAUCAGAUGCCAACACCACUAGCAUAUAUCGUUCUGAAAAAUCCAUUAUUCGGAAUUCAUUUGGAUUAUGAUAAUUGUUCUUCUGGAGUCAUGUCCCAACAUCAAUCUGCACUUGAUCGUUCAGUAGUACUUACAAAAAUGUUCAGCAAAAUCGUAGCUAUCAGCGCCCUCCUGGCCGCGGCCAACGCUGGUCUCUUAGGCCACGGACACGCUGUUCUCUUCCCAAAGCAUCGUCCGUCACGAUGAAGCUGUUGUGCACGGUGCUCCCGCCGCACACUACGUCGCUCCUGUAGCCCACUAUGCCGCCGCCCCCGUCGCCCACUACGCUGCCCCCGUCGCCCACUACGCUGCCCCCGUCGCCCACUAUGCUGCCCCUGCUGCCCACUACGACGGUCACGAUGAAUACGCUCACCCUAAAUACGACUUCGCUUACUCCGUGGCUGACCCCCACACCGGCGACCACAAGUCCCAGCACGAGAGCCGCGACGGAGACUCCGUGCACGGCUCCUACUCCCUGGUGCAGCCCGACGGCUCCGUGCGCAAGGUCGACUACUCCGCUGACGCCCACAACGGUUUCAACGCCGUCGUGCACAACUCCGCCCCCGCUGCACACCCCGCCCCUGCUGUGCACGUCGCUCCCGCUGUGCAUGUCGCUCCCGUUGUCCAUGCCGCCCCGUUGUACACGCUCUCCCCGUUGUACACGCUGCCCCUGCUCAUGGCUACCAUCAUUACUGAACGAUCAUAACUUAACAUAAGUGAAAACCAAUGAUUGUAUGUCUGUAAGAGUUUAUUUAUGUAUGUGUAAAUAUAUGCGAAUAAAAUGUAAAUAAAAAGAAUUAUGACUAUA